UUUUAUGGAGAGUUUGAUCCUGGCUCAGGAUGAACGCUGGCGGCGUGCCUAAUACAUGCAAGUCGAGCGAACAGACGAGGAGCUUGCUCCUCUGACGUUAGCGGCGGACGGGUGAGUAACACGUGGAUAACCUACCUAUAAGACUGGGAUAACUACGGGAAACCGGAGCUAAUACCGGAUAAUAUAUUGAACCGCAUGGUUCAAUAGUGAAAGACGGUUUUGCUGUCACUUAUAGAUGGAUCCGCGCCGCAGUAGCAAGUUGG
rnacentral:rRNA from 1 species